rnacentral:tRNA from 1 species
UCCCUGGUGGCUCAGUUGGUAAAGAAUCUGCCUGUAAGGCAGGAGAUCCAAGUUUGAUUUUUGGGUUGGGAA